GGAAUGAGAGGCCGCCUCACCCUCUCAUCUACAACUCUGUCACUCGCUCAGGUCCGAGUGACAGACUGAUGGACGUCAGCUGCUUUUUAAAUGGCAAGGGGAGGAGGCGCGUGUGAGGGCAUUCGUACCAGUGCUUCAGACAUUCUCCUUUAGCCUGGAUGCCCAGCUGACAUCCUCCUGCAGUAUGGAUAUGAAGAACACAACAAUCAUCCUUAAACAACAUUUGCUUUUCAUGGAUUAAAGCUAAGUGUGGUCAAAGUAGACUAAACCGAGACCAAGACAAGACCAAGACCAGAGGGUAUCGAGACCAAGACAAGACCACGUAAAAGUCAAAGAUGUCGUCUGGAUGGAGAGAUGAUUCAUAUCCACACUUUCUUACCAAUGAAAUCAUUUGACUUGCCCAUGUCAUAGUCCCAGACUGAGAUUUCCAGGGUUUUCUUGGCGAGGUCAGCAUGUUUUAUUUCAUAGCUGAACUCCUGAAAAAACAGUGAUGAGUUUAUUAUCAAAUCGAUGAAAACGUGUAAAUGAAAAUGAACUGAAGCAGCGAACAACGAGCACUGACCUCAUUAAACUCUGGAUUGAGGGUCUUC